AAAUACAAUGUAAACACGCAGAGAAGAAAUCCAAUAUGGCGGCCCUUGUACAGUUGGUGCUCACUUUUCUAGGCCCGCCACACCAGCAUGUAUUGCGAUUCCAUGAUGAAGCUAAGGAAGUCCCGACACUACAUUUCCCAGCAUUCACCACAGAUCAACUACAUUUUUCCUUCACUCGGUUGCACAUUUCCAAGUUUCUCCAGCGCUGCCAUCUGAGGAGGGGAGCCCACAGCCGCCCGCUCCCCCGGGACUCCUUGAGAAUACCAUCUCCAAAAAUAGAGGUCUCCUCCUCUCCUUCCAACUCUUCCGCUCUUCCAGAUCCCAGCUCACCUUUCCUUUCUGAAGACAAACGGGCAAAUAUGAACACUUCAACAAAACCCUGUGAGCCAAAUCAAGAGCAAACAUGAAGAAAAUUGUGAUUUAGAUUUUUAAGACUUACCUGAUACUGUGAGAUACAGAACAACACACGUGUAUUCGGCCGUCUGCCGGCUGUGUUUUCUUUCAUGUUUAGAUGAAAGCUAAUUCUCCUUUGGUGCUGAGAUUGUUUCACAAGUUUAAUUUUUGAAAAAUAGUUCCAAACAGAUCGAUCUGUCUGUCCCUUGGGAAAUUUUAUUUAGACAGAAGUGUGGAAAUGUAUAUUCUAGACUUUUCACAAAGAGGUUCACACCUGCCUUUGGCUUCUGAUAGCCCAUCUUCCUUUAUUCAGUCUAAUAAUUCUACUAUUUCUGAUGAGAGAAUGAAUAAACUUUGUAUUGCAUGAGUGUAAUUUAAUCAUUUGGAACAUGUGAUGAUGAAGUGCUGUAUCGUCAGGGUGAUAGUUUGGGUCUCCCUGAGGUGUUUUACUUGCUAUUCUUUAACUCAUCCAUUGCUAAUGUGUGAAAAUGCAACCUACAAGAUUAAUUUACCCUCGUAGAGAAUGCGGUGGUUGGUGUUUCCACCCUGUACUACCUUCUCAUUAGACAUGCUGGGGAUUUAUCUGGUCUGAUUGUCACCUGGUUAUGUUCUUGUCAGCAGUUUUGUAUUUCCUGAAGGGAGUUGAUAUCUGUAAAAGAUUAGAGCAAGACUUUAUCUGUCUAUCUAUCUAGUAUGUAGAGUAUUUCGGAAACACUGUCUUAAAUAACAAUGACUGAUAACACAAAGUAUGAAUAAAGUGCUACAGAAAUAACCACAUAAUUAACAAUGGUCCUUUCUGAGAGCUGAGCCGUAGCAUCUGCCAUGGCACUUAACCAUAACGCUAAAUGUUUCAAUAUAAUUAUAUCCAGUUGGUGUGAUGAUAAGUAAAUCCUCUCAUUAAUUGGGUCUUGGGAUUGUGUAGCUCUUGCUGUCACAGCUAAUUGACCCUAAGAAUGAGGUGGAGUACAUCUGCCUUCAUUUAUGCACAACUCUAAUUAACACCACCACAUCAACCUGAAAGAGACGCAUUUAUGUGUGUGUGUGUGUGUGUGUGUGUGUGUGUGUGUGUGCGUGUGUGUGUGUGUGUAUGUGUGUGUGUGUGUGUGUGUGUGUAUGUGUGUAUGUGUGUAUGUGUGUGUGUGUGUGUGUGUGUGUGUGUGUGUGUGUGUGUAUAUGUGUGUGUGUGACAUGGGAUCUCUUGACCCCAAUCAACCGAGCCAGACUAUAUGGAGAGAGAAGCAACAAUGUAGCACAAUCUACACUCUUUUUAUAUUUCAUCCUAUAUUGUUCAUGGUUAUGGUAUGCAUGUUAUAAAACAUUAAACUCACACUUGCCAAUGUG